rnacentral:rRNA from 1 species
AGUGAACGCUGGCGGUAGGCCUAACACAUGCAAGUCGAACGGCAGCACAGUAAGAGCUUGCUCUUACGGGUGGCGAGUGGCGGACGGGUGAGGAAUACAUCGGAAUCGACUUUUUCGUGGGGGAUAACGUAGGGAAACUUACGCUAAUACCGCAUACGACCUACGGGUGAAAGCAGGGGAUCUUCGGACCUUGCGCGAUUGAAUGAGCCGAUGUCGGAUUAGCUAGUUGGCGGGGUAAAGGCCCACCAAGGCGACGAUCCGUAGCUGGUCUGAGAGGAUGAUCAGCCACACUGGAACUGAGACACGGUCCAGACUCCUACGGGAGGCAGCAGUGGGGAAUAUUGGACAAUGGGCGCAAGCCUGAUCCAGCCAUACCGCGUGGGUGAAGAAGGCCUUCGGGUUGUAAAGCCCUUUUGUUGGGAAAGAAAAGCAGCAGGUUAAUACCCCGCUGUUCUGACGGUACCCAAAGAAUAAGCACCGGCUAACUUCGUG